AGUAAUAGACAGCCUCGUCCUCAGCUUGGACCCCAUCGAUGGUUAAUGUGCCCGUGGAGCCGGAGUAGGAACCGGAGAAUCGUGAAGGGAUGUCUGAGGGUCUCUCGGUGUUAUCAUAGAUCACAGUGACAAGGGCACUGCCAGGUGACUUCUGCUGGUACCAG